rnacentral:lncRNA from 1 species
GGAAGAUCCUUUUAGAUAUUAUUUACUCAUUAGACAGACCGAUAAAGAAACUAAAGCCCAGAGCAGGGCAGUAGCUGCUGGAGGGCCCAGAGCCACGUGGUAGGAGAGCUGGGAGAGAGGCCUGGGUACUGAGAGAGCUGCUGUGUUUGGGCUGCUCUACACAUCCCCGUGUUUCUGUAUUCCUCCAUGCUCACGGAGUCUUCCUCAGACUUCAGUCUCCAGAUGUGCCAUAGUUUAAUUUGGGGGUCCUCAAGUCAAAAUUUCAAGAACUGAAGAAUACGGAUCAUGAGACCUGCUGAAUAACAUCGAAGGAACUUCUGAACACGCCACCAUUUAAGCGGAGAGGGUCCCUCCCUUCCGCUGCAAUCAGGCUAUUACAGGCUCGCUCUGCCUCUUACCCGCUGGGCGCAGGCCAAGCCCAGAGCCCGGGGCUCCUACUAUGACUUGGCUGAGCAGCAAGCUAUUCAUCCACACGUCCAAGGCCACUUUUGUGCGAACAGCUUCGCAUCACCUGCCCCUGGAGACUUCGGAUCACCCCUCUGCUCCCCCGCCCUCCCCUGCUCCAGCCCCUCUCUGGCUGUGCAGGAGCCAAAGGGGAUUUGUGAUAACAGAGUCACAGGCACAGGCCCAACCCAGGCCCGAGGAGCUUGACCUGAGGCAAGAGCAUAGCCCAGAACAACACACGCCACUCCCCAGCAAGGAGGGGUGGCCCGGCACUCAAAUCGAAAACUCCUGGGCUUUUGAUGGAAGCCAUAAAACAAAGGUAGUAUUCCAGAAGGAAUCUCAGAUCCUUGUUCAUACUGGAGCCCAAGUGACCAUUAAAACAAGAGGCUGCUUCUCCAUAGGCAGUUCCGAGGAUCAAGGUUUCUGUUAAUUCUGGAUUUGGAAAAACAUACCUGGGAAGGAGGCAGGCACUCCCACUGCAUUACCUCUGAGAAAGACACAAUUCGCAGAUCCACCAAACCAGACGAUGCUGCUGGCGGAAAAAUGUGCACGCUCUGGUGUUCGUGCAAGAAUGAGAAGACCUCUGUGGCGCAGUGGCAGGAGGUUAUAAAAAUAACACAGACUCACUGUAUACAACUUGUAAAAUACAGAAGUGUAUAAAGAAGGAAAUAAAACUACCAUUAACCCGUGCUCCAGAGGUCUUAGAAUGUCCAUCAGGAGGGAACGCUUUGAACCAGGCAUCACGCUCUGGGCGGGAUUCCAAGUCAGCCCUGAAAACAGUCAGAGCUACCCCGGGUCCCCUCCUGGCUGCGCAGAAUGGCUGAAAGAGUGGGUUCUCCCUUCUGCCCGGCCCCCCACCCCGGCUCGGUUCCCCACGUCGUCUGAAGAGCCCGCUCUGAGCCCAGACAGCGACGAGACAAGGCGCUUUUCUUACGGCAGGACAUCCUCUCCUCACCCAGACCUCCAAGGAUUUCUCAUCAGAGAGACAAAGUGUCUUUAUUUUAAAGGCUCCAUGUAGCAGGGCCAGAAGUUUCUUGUGUUAUUAAGAAGGGGGUGGGGGAGGGGAAAGGGCCGAUGAGGCUACUUACUUAAUAGCUCCUAACAGCUGUGGAAAGUUUGAUGCAGCAGGAGCACCCGGACAGAAAAUUAAAAAACUAAUAAAGUCCUCAGUGUGGGGGCGCUGGCAUCAGGACAGCUUUACUUCUCCAGACACCUAAUAAAGAGACAUUCCGGGACACUCACUCAUAAGGGGAGUCUGCAGGGGUCACCGGGAACAGUGGAAAGUGAGCCAUGGAAACCUAGCAGUCACUCACAGCGCCGUGGGGAAGUUUCGUUUGCUUCUCCUCUUCCCCGCCCCCCCCCCACCUCCGCUUUUCGCCGUUUUGGAAGAAUGGCAGGGUGCUCAGGACCCAAAGAAGGAAAAGGAGGACUGAAAAAAGAGAAAAAGAGGAGGGGGGCGAUUCCAGGAGCCUCAAUGUAGAAAUCAUGCACUUUCAUGGAGGGAACGAGCGUGAAGCUGAGGUUGGCAGUUUAGACAUAGCAGGACGGGAGGUGAUGGUCACCAUGCAGGGGCACGUUGAGAUCCCGAGGCGGCUGGCUUCUGGAGGUAGCAGAGAAAGGCGGUUUAGAGAAAUGAGGUUUAUUCAGCUGGAUUUUAUGAAGCACCCUCCUCACGAAAGGUUUUCUCGUGUGGGUUUUUCCACUGUCGUUACGAGGUCAUUUUGGAUCUGAGCUCCUUGGGGUCUGCUAGGUUCUGGGUUGCUGGGUUGGGACUUUUGCUUUAAAGGACAUUUAUGUUGUUUUGUCUUGGUCCUCAAGUUGGGCUUUGUGUAUUUGAAGAAAAAAUAUGAUGACUUGGGACAACCAAACCAUCAGCCAGUUGUGGAGGCAUCCACUGAGCUGGUGGGGCCAGUCUUCUCACACACACAACGUGCCAGCACCAAAGGUAGACUGCAGUGGCCUGCUAACAAAAGGAGAGUACAGUGGAAUGAGUCAGCCAGAGCAAGACAAAUACUGUGGGAUCUCACUCACAUGUGAAAUCUAAAAGAAUCGAACUCAUAGAAACAAAACAGAUAGGUGUUUGCCAGAGGCGGGUGGAAGGGGUGUGU